ACGCUCGACACCUACGGAGGCAGCAGUGGGGAAUAUUGCACAAUGGGGGAAACCCUGAUGCAGCAACGCCGCGUGAAGGAAGACGGUUUUCGGAUUGUAAACUUCUGUUCUUAGUGAAGAUAGUGACGGUAGCUAAGGAGCAAGCCACGGCUAACUACGUGCCAGCAGCCGACGGUAAUCUGAGGCGGGCUGGACAAGGC
rnacentral:rRNA from 1 species